GAUGAACGCUAGCUACAGGCGUAACACAUGCAAGUCGAGGGCACGGCGCGCGGGUGAGUAACACGUAUAUAACCUGGCCUUUACUAGGGAAUAGCCUGUCGAACGAAAGAUUAAUACAUGAUAUAAAGGAUGGGGAUGCGUUCAAUUAGGUUGUUGGGGAGGUAACGGCCCACCAAGCCUUCGAUGGAUAGGGGUGCUGAGAGGAAGGGCCCCCACAUUGGAACUGAGACACGGUCUAAACUCCUACGGGAGGCAGCAGUGAGGAAUAUUGUGCAAUGGGCGCUAGCCUGAACCAGCCAAGUAGCGUGAAGGAUGAAGGCUUAUGGGUCGUAAACUUCUUUUAUAGAAGAAUAUGUAUUAUAUGAAUAAGGAUCGGCUAACUCCGUGCCAGCAGCCGCGGUAAUAC
rnacentral:rRNA from 1 species